rnacentral:rRNA from 1 species
AUGGAUCUAAACCCACAAGUGUUGUGCUGGAAUGUGAGGAGCCUCAACAAUCCAGCCAAGAGGAAUGUGAUUAGGGAAUUUGUCAUAGCGGCGAGAGUUAACCUAGUGUGUUUACAAGAAACUAAGCUAGAUGUAAUAGACAAAUUUAUGGUUAUGAAAUGCAUUGGACCGGCUUUGGAUGGCAAUGCCUAUUUGCCGGUGAGUGACACUCGAGGUGAUAUCCUUUUGUCUUGGGACAACACAGUGAUGGAGGUGGAUAAUAUCACCUAUGACACUAACUUUCUCACAGAAGGUUCAUAA